AAUUAGCCCGGAUUGAAAUAGAAAGCCUUUUGCGAUAAAAAACUUUAUUUUUUUGCAAGAACAGAGCGACCAACGGAAGCUCCUGUAAUUGCGUUAAAAAUAUGUUUUUUUGAGAAAAGCUUGAAUGAAAAGCCGGAUUAGCU
rnacentral:sRNA from 1 species